GCUACCCUCUCCAUGUGCCCCGUGGAGUCAGACCUGCUACAUCCACCCUUCUUUCCUGUUUCUAAGACCCCACUGGCUCCAUUGCUCAUCCUACAGUCAUUGGUCACAGCCGCCACCACGCACUGCCAGGCCGCACCCUCUGACUCCAUCCUUCCCCAGGAUAUCCCUGCAAAGUGUCCGGUACACCCACGUGAGGAGACCGAGGCUGCCCCGGGCUUGCCUCUGAGCCUGCUCCCGCCUGCACCCAUCACAACUCAGAAGAUGCACAGACAGGAGCCACAAAGGCUGGGUCUCUGCGCACUGUCCAACCCAGAAGCCACCCACCACGGGCACCUGUGACUACAGAGCAUGGGCACUGGAGCUGGUCCGAAAGGAGAUGAGCUCAAGUUCCCAGGUUAGAGGUGGAAUCGGAG